UCAGAGUGUUUGUGGACUUGGUUGCACACCCGAAGCUCCUCGUGUCUUCCAAGAAGAGGGAUCACAUGAAUAGGGCCUCCAGGAUAUCCAUGGUCUUCCAGACCUCACACAGAGUGAUUACAUGAGUGAGACACACGAAUCCAUUGUCUUUGCCACAACUGUCCAAGGGAAAGGCGUAACCUUCUUCUUCACUCCAAGAGAAUAGUGCAUUUGGUGGCUUGACUCAGUAUAAUUUUCAGUGUACCAUCCCAAUCUUGGCAGAUGUGCCAUGGAUGCAGACACUUUGCGCAAGACAGCUUCCACUCCUCUGUAUGCAUCAUGCAGUUUUAGUUCAUCUGGAGCUUCAAGGGACCACAAGGAAUGUGGCAAUUCGCAAGGGGACAGAGACCAAGGAUUACAUGUUGCAUUUCACUAAUCGAUGUGCUGAGUCAACACAGAUAGUCAACUCAGUGCCUUUUCAUGGAAAUAGAACAUGAGACCGUAUCAUCAACAUCCAGGAUCACUAGUGGCUAAUAACGUAGGUGUCUUCUUCUUUGCUUCUUCGUCUGAAAUGGCUGCUUCUCAUGUUCCAAGCCAUGCUCAUGACUACCAUUGUAAGAAGCAGACUUCAUCCUCAACUACAAAAACACUAAAGAAAAUCCUAAGCAGGUUAAGAGGUAAACAUGGGCUGUUUCUCCACGGCUUCCAGAGAAGCUGAUCUUUGGAAACCAUGUUGCAGGAGGUAUGCUGUGAGCCCUUCCCACCUGAUCAUACCUCAGCUAGGUGAGGAGAUGAAUGGAUCUGGGUUGCUACAGAUUACCACUGCAGCAUGGGAAGGAUUCAUGUCCACAUCAUGAAUCCACACACGCAACGGUAGGUUGCCCAGGCCGUCCCCUGAAUUAUGGCCUAUAAGGCCACACACUCCAGAAGUGACCACAGAGAAGCAGAUGGCCACUGUCCCACAGACUCUUUAUUCGAUCAAAUGCACAGGCAGUAACCUUUCUCAAGACAGUUUUGGUGGGAGUUAAGGAGCUAAAAACUGAAGAGCACUUAAAUGAUACAUUAAUGGAAAGAGCAAUGGGAAAUAGCACGCUGGCUGAAAAGUGAAUGUAAGUAAAUAUGGCUUGCCUCAUCUUGCUCUCAUA